ACAGGGAUUGCCUCAGUAGCGGCGAGUGAAGCGGCAAAAGCUCAAAUUUGAAAUCUGGCGUCUUUGGCGUCCGAGUUGUAAUUUGAAGAAGGUAUCUUUGGGCCCGGCUCUUGUCUAUGUUCCUUGGAACAGGACGUCACAGAGGGUGAGAAUCCCGUGCGAUGAGAUGACCCGGGUCUGUGUAAAGUUCCUUCGACGAGUCGAGUUGUUUGGGAAUGCAGCUCUAAGUGGGUGGUAAAUUCCAUCUAAAGCUAAAUAUUGGCGAGAGACCGAUAGCGAACAAGUACAGUGAUGGAAAGAUGAAAAGAACUUUGAAAAGAGAGUGAAAAAGUACGUGAAAUUGUUGAAAGGGAAGGGCUUGAGAUCAGACUUGGUAUUUUGCAUGCUGCUCUCUCGGGGGCGGCCGCUGCGGUUUACCGGGCCAGCAUCGGUUUGGAGCGGCAGGAUAAUGGCGGAGGAAUGUGGCACGGCUUCUGCUGUGUGUUAUAGCCUCUGACGAUGCUGCCAGCCUAGACCGAGGACUGCGGUUUUUAACCUAGGAUGUUGGCAUAAUGAUCUUAAGUCGCCCGUCUUGAAACACGGACCAAGGAGUCUAACGUCUAUGCGAGUGUUUGGGUGUAAAACCCGUACGCGUAAUGAAAGUGAACGAAGGUGGGGGCCCAUUAGGGUGCACCAUCGACCGAUCCUGAUGUGUUCGGAUGGAUUUGAGUAAGAGCAUAGCUGUUGGGACCCGAAAGAUGGUGAACUAUGCCUGAAUAGGGUGAAGCCAGAGGAAACUCUGGUGGAGGCUCGUAGCGGUUCUGACGUGCAAAUCGAUCGUCGAAUUUGGGUAUA
rnacentral:rRNA from 1 species